UAACCUUCCAAUUACAAGCUUUAACUAAUGCUUUCACAAUCGAUGGAUGACCACGUUAUUUUUUUGCAUUUCCUUCAGGAUUAUAAGCAAUAGUCAGUGAUAGUUUAAUUCCACAUCUUUCAAAGAAUUCACGAGCUUCUUGUGCAUUUAAUUCUCUACAAUCUGUAGUGAUUUUUUCUACAUAUCUGUAGGAGCAAACAACAUCUUCAAGUAAAAAUUUAUAAAUUCCUUCCGUAGAUUUUGUUCUCAAUUCUCUUCUUUUUACUUGAUUUGAUAAAUCUUCACGAGCUAAGAUGAAAUAUCUCA
rnacentral:lncRNA from 1 species